rnacentral:rRNA from 1 species
UACGGAGGGUGCAAGCGUUAUCCGGAUUUACUGGGUUUAAAGGGUGUGUAGGCGGACUUUUAAGUCAGCGGUGAAAUCUCCGGGCUCAACCCGGAAACUGCCAUUGAUACUAUUGGUCUUGAAUGUUGUUGAGGUGGGCGGAACGGGUCAUGUAGCGGUGAAAUGCAUAGAUAUGACCCGGAACACCGAUUGCGUAGGCAGCCCACUAAGCAACGAUUGACGCUGAGGCACGAAAGCGUGGGAAUCAAACAGG